UUAUAUUCUUAAAAUUCUAAAAAAUUUGGCGGUAUUUUAGUCUUUUUCGAGGAACCUGUUCUAUAAUCGAUAAUCCACGAUUAAUUGUACUUAAUUUAAAAGUUUGUAUAUCGUCGUAGUUGAAUUUCUUAUUAGAGAAUAAUAUUCGUAAAAUAAAAAUUUAAUAGAAAUCAGAUCAAGGUGCAGCUUAUAAUUAAGAAGAAAUGGGUUACAAUAAAAUUAUUUAUAUGGAUAAUAAAAUUAAAAUUUUGUUUUUAAAGUGGAUUUGAAAGUAAUAUAAUUUAGUUAAUUUAUAUGAUUUUAGCUCUAGAAUAUGCACAUAUCGCCCGUCGCUUCUAUAAUUAUUAAUAUAGAAUAAGUCGUAACAAAGUAGAUGUAUUGGAAAAUGUAUCUUGAAAGACAAAUUAGAGCUUGAUAAGCAUUUUAUUUACAUUAAAAAGAUAUUUGUUAAAUACAAUUUAAUUUGAAUUAAAAUGAUUAUAAAUUUAUAUAUAAAAUUAAAUGUUUAAUUAAAGUAUUUAUUUUUUUUUUAUUAUAAAAAUAAAAUUAUUAUAAUUAUAGUGAAUUAGGUAAAGUGAUUGAAAAUAUUAAAUAAUUUGAAAAAUUUAAAUAUUUAAAAGAAAAAAUAGUUUUUGUACCUUGUGUAUCAGGGUUUAUUAAAUAAUAAUUAUAAAAUUAAUUUUCUCGAAUUUAAAAGAGUUAAAAGAUUAUAAAUAUUAUUGUAAAAUAAAUAUUUAAAAUAAUUUUUUAGUAAUGAAAUGUUAUACGUUUUUAAAUAUAUCUAGUUUUUAAAGAAAUAAAUUUAAUUUAGAUUAUUUAUUUAAAUUUAUUUAAAUUUAUUUAAUUAUUUUUAAUAAAUAAUUAAUAUUUAAGGGGAUAAGCUCUUAAAUAAAAUUUUUAAAAAAAAAAGUUAAAUUUUAAGUUAUGUAGAAUUAAAAGUUUUUAUCAAUUAAAGGAUGUUAUAAUUAAAUUUAAUUUUAAUUAAAUUUUUAUUGUAUUUUAAGUUUUUUAUUUAAAUAAAUUAUUAAAUUUUAAAAUAGUUGAAAUAAUGAUAAAAUUAGUAUAAAUUGAUUUAAUUAUAAAUUAAAUGAUUUAGGUUAGAUUAAGGAAUUCGGCAAAAUAAAUUUUUUCGCUUGUUUAUUAAAAACAUCUCUUUUUGAUAAUAAUUUAAGGUUUAACCUGCCCAAUGAUUAAUUGAAUGGCUGCAGUAUUUUAACUGUACAAAGGUAGCAUAAUAAUUAGUUUUUUAAUUGAAAACUGGAAUGAAAGGUUGGACGAGAAAAAUUCUGUCUCAAUUUAAUUGUAAUUAGAAUUUUAUUUUUAAGUAAAAAAGCUUAAAUAAAUUUAAAAGACGAGAAGACCCUAUAGAGUUUUAUAUUAAUUAAUAAAAUUAAAUAUUAAGAAUAAUUUUUUAUUAAUUAGUAUUUAUUUGAGGUGAUAGUAAAAUUAAAAUAACUUUUAGUUUUUAUAAACCAUUUAUAUA
rnacentral:rRNA from 1 species